rnacentral:rRNA from 1 species
CAAUGGGGGGAAACCCUGNAUGCAGCAACGCCCGCGNUGAGUGAAGAAGUAUUUCGGNNAANANAAAGCUCUANAAAACAGGNAAAGAAAAUGACGGUACCUGACUAUUCAAGCCCCGGCUAACUACGUGCCAGCAGCCGCGGUAAUACGUAGGGGGCAAGCGUUAUCCGGAUUUACUGGGUGUAAAGGGAGCGUAGACNGUUUUGCAAGUCUGAAGUGAAAGCCCGGGGCUUAACCCCGGGACUGCUUUGGAAACUGUAGAACUAGAGUGCAGGAGAGGUAAGUGGAAUUCCUAGUGUAGCGGUGAAAUGCGUAGAUAUUAGGAGGAACACCAGUGGCGAAGGCGGCUUACUGGACUGUAACUGACGUUGAGGCUCGAAAGCGUGGGGAGCAAACAGGAUUAGAUACCCUGGUAGUCCAAGGGCGAAUUC